CGCCCUUGGGGUGAUCUCGUAAUUCCUACGGGGUGGAGAUGAUGGGGUCGGUCCAUGGAUUUUCCUUCCUUUUCUUUUGCCGCAUUUCGCUCAAAGGGUUGAAAGGAGAUAGUGCAUCAAGUUGGUCGCAAGGGCCAACUUGAUUCUCUUCCCUGAAUUAGGUGUUAAUGAAACUUUUCAUAGGAAUCUUUCACAAACUCCCAACUAAUACUAAUAUUAUCAACUAAUCAGAAUGUUUGAUUAUUAGACCAUGGUAUUUGAUUUACCAAAUACAAUAAAAAGGUGUCUGACCUGAUUCAUAG
rnacentral:lncRNA from 1 species